rnacentral:rRNA from 1 species
AGCGAACGUUAGCGGCGCGCCUAACACAUGCAAGUCGCACGAGAAAGGGGGCAACCCCCGGUACAGUGGCGCACGGGUGAGUAACACGUGGGUGAUCUGCCCAGAAGAAGGGGAUAACCUCUCGAAAGGGGGGCUAAUACCGCAUAGGACCACCGGGGCUUUGGCUCUGUGGUGAAAGGGGGCCUCUGUUUACAAGCUCCUGCUUCUGGAUGAGCCCGCGUCCCAUCAGCUAGUUGGUAGGGUAAUGGCCUACCAAGGCUACGACGGGUAGCUGGUCUAAGAGGAUGGCCAGCCACACUGGAACUGAGACACGGUCCAGACUCCUACGGGAGGCAGCAGUGGGGAAUCUUGCGCAAUGGGCGAAAGCCUGACGCAGCGACGCCGCGUGGGUGACGAAGGCCUUCGGGUUGU